AUUCCGGUUUGGAUUCUGAUACGAGUUACGUGUCGAUUUCUGUCCGUUCUGAUUCCGGUUCGGGAUUGGUUUCAGUUCUGGUGACAAACAUGAACGAAGACAGCGGAGAUGGCGAUAUGUUUCGGAUUUGAUUUGGGAGUAUUAUAGUUCAGUUUUAGUGUCUCGGGUCUAACAGUCAACUGCCAGGGUGACCUCGGUGUUUCAUUCUCCUAAUCUUAUCAACUCGUCAUACUUGGAUAAUCGGAAGACUUAGCAAUUAUGUUGAUGAGGAUGAUGCUAAGAAAAGAAGUAGCGUUGAUGCCUAGAUACA